GUGGGGAAUUUUGGACAAUGGGGGCAACCCUGAUCCAGCCAUUCCGCGUGAGUGAAGAAGGCCUUCGGGUUGUAAAGCUCUUUCGGCAGGAACGAAACGGUGAGCUCUAACAUAGCUCGCUAAUGACGGUACCUGAAGAAGAAGCACCGGCUAACUACGUGCCAGCAGCCGCGGUAAUACGUAGGGUGCGAGCGUUAAUCGGAAUUACUGGGCGUAAAGCGUGCGCAGGCGGUUGUGUAAGACAGGUGUGAAAUCCCCGGGCUUAACCUGGGAACUGCGCUUGUGACUGCACGGCUAGAGUAUGGCAGAGGGGGGUGGAAUUCCGCGUGUAGCAGUGAAAUGCGUAGAUAUGCGGAGGAACACCGAUGGCGAAGGCAAUCCCCUGGGCCUGCACUGACGCUCAUGCACGAAAGCGUGGGGAGCAAACAGGAUUAGAAACCCGGGUAGUCC
rnacentral:rRNA from 1 species